UACGUAGGGGGCAAGCGUUGUCCGGAAUCAUUGGGCGUAAAGAGCGUGUAGGCGGCCCGAUAAGUCCGCCGUGAAAGUCCAGGGCUCAACCCUGGAAUGCCGGUGGAAACUGUCGGGCUGGAGUCCGGAAGAGGCGAGUGGAAUUCCUGGUGUAGCGGUGAAAUGCGCAGAUGUCAGGAGGAACACCAAUGGCGAAGGCAGCUCGCUGGGACGGUACUGACGCUGAGACGCGAAAGCGUGGGGAGCAAACAGG
rnacentral:rRNA from 1 species